AACGAACGCUGGCGGCAGGCCUAACACAUGCAAGUCGAACGCUCCAGCAAUGGAGAGUGGCAGACGGGUGAGUAACGCGUGGGAACCUACCCUUUGGUUCGGAAUAGCUCAGGGAAACUUGAGGUAAUACCGGAUAAGCCCUUCGGGGGAAAGAUUUAUCGCCAAUGGAUGGGCCCGCGUCGGAUUAGCUAGUUGGUAGGGUAACGGCCUACCAAGGCGACGAUCCGUAGCUGGUCUGAGAGGAUGAUCAGCCACACUGGGACUGAGACACGGCCCAGACUCCUACGGGAGGCAGCAGUGGGGAAUAUUGGACAAUGGGCGCAAGCCUGAUCCAGCCAUGCCGCGUGAGUGACGAAGGUCUUCGGAUUGUAAAGCUCUUUUGGCGGGGAAGAUAAUGACGGUACCCGCAGAAUAAGCCCCGGCUAACUUCGUGCCAGCCGCCGCCGUAA
rnacentral:rRNA from 1 species